GGAGACAUGGCCAAGUGGUAAGGCAGAAGCCUGCAAAGCUUUUAUCCCCGGUUCAAAUCCGGGUGUCUCCU
rnacentral:tRNA from 2 species